rnacentral:rRNA from 1 species
GCGUGGGUAACCUGCCUCAUACAGGGGGAUAGCAGCUGGAAACGGCUGGUAAUACCGCAUAAGCGCACAGUACCACAUGGUACAGUGUGAAAAACUCCGGUGGUAUGAGAUGGACCCGCGUCUGAUUAGCUAGUUGGCGGGGUAACGGCCCACCAAGGCGACGAUCAGUAGCCGACCUGAGAGGGUGACCGGCCACAUUGGGACUGAGACACGGCCCAGACUCCUACGGGAGGCAGCAGUGGGGAAUAUUGCACAAUGGAGGAAACUCUGAUGCAGCGACGCCGCGUGAGUGAAGAAGUAGUUCGCUAUGUAAAGCUCUAUCAGCAGGGAAGAUAGUGACGGUACCUGACUAAGAAGCUCCGGCUAAAUACGUGCCAGCAGCCGCGGUAAUACGUAUGGAGCAAGCGUUAUCCGGAUUUACUGGGUGUAAAGGGAGUGUAGGUGGCCAGGCAAGUCAGAAGUGAAAGCCCGGGGCUCAACCCCGGGACUGCUUUUGAAACUGCAGGGCUAGAGUGCAGGAGGGGCAAGUGGAAUUCCUAGUGUAGCGGUGAAAUGCGUAGAUAUUAGGAGGAACACCAGUGGCGAAGGCGGCUUGCUGGACUGUAACUGACACUGAGGCUCGAA